rnacentral:lncRNA from 10 species
UAGAAGCAACAAUUUAGAGCACAGAUCCCCAAUAAUUAGAGUACAGCAUUCCUUUGUCCACACUGGGCAAAGCUAUGUGUAAGCUACUCCAGGAUCAUCUGCACAGCUGCCUGCCAAGCCGCUGAGGACAGAGUGUCACUGUAUUGCCCAGGCUGGAAUGGAGUGGUGUAAUCUUGGCUCACUGCAACCUCCGCCUUCUGGGGGUUCAAGCGAUUCUCAUGCCUCAGCCUCCCGAGCAGGCGCACAACACCACGCCCGGCUAAUUUUUGUAUUUUUAGUAGAGAUGGGGUUUUGCUAUGUUGGCCAGGCUGGUCUGACACUCCUAGCCUCAAGUCUGGUCUGCCUGUCCUGGCCUCUCAAAGUACUAGGAUUACAGGCAUGAGCCACCGCACCCAGUCCUGAUUUUAUCUCUUGAUCAUCUGGAUUAAACUGUACCAGAAGACACUCCUGGGACUUUUGGAUUGCGCAAACAAAUAAAUUUUUUCUUUUGCCUGAGUAAUUUUGUGCUGGAUAUCUGUCCUGGCUGAUAUAGUUAUGGCUGAUAUGUUAGACUGACUCUGUAUUUAAGUGUUAGUAGUUAAUUCCUAAUUAAUAGACUAUUAGAUAUCUUACGUUCAAGUAUAUAUCCUUUUUUCUUUGUAAUUUUGUCAAAUCUUUUAAGUAUUCAUUUCUGAUUCAUUUCACCGAACUCUGAAUUUUCUGGAAGGGGUUGGAAAAAGGGUUGUUAUUUCCCUAGUUUGCAUGCUUCAAUCAGACCAGGUGUUGACAGCGGUGUCUGUGUCAAUGCGUCAGUGACUAUGCCCUGCCAGUUACUAAAUAUUUUGAAUAUCAUAUCUAAUUGGUAGGGGGACACUGUUCUAAGUUGUUCUUUGAAUAUAUUUUUUGUUUGUGGACAAUGAUCUUAAUAUAACUGAC